rnacentral:rRNA from 1 species
AGUGAACGCUGGCGGUAGGCCUAACACAUGCAAGUCGAACGGCAGCACAGGAGAGCUUGCUCUCUGGGUGGCGAGUGGCGGACGGGUGAGGAAUACAUCGGAAUCUACCUUGUCGUGGGGGAUAACGUAGGGAAACUUACGCUAAUACCGCAUACGACCUUCGGGUGAAAGUGGGGGACCGCAAGGCCUCACGCGAUUAGAUGAGCCGAUGUCGGAUUAGCUAGUUGGCGGGGUAAAAGCCCACCAAGGCGACGAUCCGUAGCUGGUCUGAGAGGAUGAUCAGCCACACUGGAACUGAGACACGGUCCAGACCCCUACGGGAGGCAGCAGUGGGGAAUAUUGGACAAUGGGCGCAAGCCUGAUCCAGCCAUACCGCGUGGGUGAAGAAGGCCUUCGGGUUGUAAAGCCCUUUGUUGGGAAAGAAAUCUUGCCGGUUAAUACCUGGCGAGGAUGACGGUACCCAAAGAAUAAGCACCGGCUAACUUCGUGCCAGCAGCCGCAGUAACAC